GUAAAAGAGGGAGGGGGGGAGAGAAAACUGGCUGUGAAGCAGCAGCAGAUGGCAAGAAAGUGGCUUUUUAAAAAAGGUGAGUAUUCUCACAAUAAAUUGUUUUUCAGGAAGUUUUUUUCCUCCACAUCCCUCAACCUAAAUUUCUGAGCCAGGAAAUUGAAACAGGAGAAUAGUUGGCUCAGCUCUAAUAAUAACCAGGUCCUUGGCAUACCCUAUACCCACUAGAAGAGUAUUCCAGGUCCUUCGCUCUCUGUGCCUCUAUUUAUAAACUUUUUUUUUCUUGCAAAGCCAUGCCAUAUGCCUCUUAUCAGCAUAGUGCUUUAAAAAAAACACCCCAAGCUGCUAUUUUUUGCAAACUUGUACCUAUUAGCCAAUUCCACCUAGGCAAGAAGAAUAGCAUUGCAGAGCAUGAGAUUUGGAGAGAGACGAAAGCUUCUGCAGAGGGCUUUGCAGGGUAGCAAAGGGUUAUUUGCCAUGUACAAAGUGUCUUCCACCAUGCCAUUCCUUCCAAAAGCCUCCCUUUUUCUUUCUUUCUCUCCACACCCGCCCCAGUAACUUGUUUAUGGCUCUGUGUAUGCUGGUCAGAUUCUGGGAUUAAUGAUGGCUAAUUUGCCUGAGGUGGGCACAGCCCAAACAGCAGGCUCUCUCUUCACCACCAGCUUUUGCUGCCAUAUGGACCGAAGCAGCUGUUUCAAUUACUUUCUGUGCCCAGAUGUGUCAGGCGAGACACCAGUGCUCUGCGGGGUACGCUCAGCCGCUCGGCAGCUAAUUACUUCUACUGCGUGUCAGAGCGUGGUGCUGGAUACUGUAAAAAAGGGGGUUUCAGGAAACAGCUGAAUGCCAGCUGUCAUUACGCCUCACACUGAUGUCAGCCUGAUAGGCUGUGACUAGAUUUCAUAACUCCUCUGCCUUUGAGGCGUGGGGUUAGUAUUUCAGAUGGAAAGGUAGAGGGAAGGAGGAAUGAAAGGGGGUGCAAAAGUGGGCAUGGGUUGGGCGGAUCCUGCCCAUUUCUGUUUAUCUCAGUUUCUCGUUUUUUCCAAUAUUGGGUCCAGUUUUCCACAUCAGGUUUGCUGAUAAUAAUGAAAUCCUCAUGAAAAUUCACCAGCAUGUUGGUAGCAUUUUCUCUCAAUAGCCAUAAUUUAUUUAUUUAUUGCUGAAUAUAUACACAUGUUUUGCAAAGCAAUUUCUGUAUGUUGCUUUCACUAAUAGGUGCAUGUCCGUGCACGCAUUUUGCAUUUUUGCACACAUUAUUUGGCUGGAGAACUGCAUUGCAAAAUUCAGAGAACUGUGACUUUCAAAGGGUAACUAUGUUUCUGUUUUCCUUGUGCAAAUUUCCUAGGUUCCCCAUUAAGUGCAGAUAGAAUUGGAUUUCUCCCUAUCCUCAGCAGGAAGGAUGAAAAGGUCUAAGCUUGGCCUGCAACCCAUCAAAGCAAACACAGCCCACCAGGGUCAGGAUUGGGGAGAAAUUUAGGACAGGCACCUCUUUGGCUUCUGUGAGAACAGGAUGCUGGACUAGAUGGGUCGUUGGCUUGACCCAUCAGGGCACUUCUUGUGCUCUUAAAUUUGUUUGAUUUGCAUUUUUAUGUGAGCCUAAAUGUGACUCAAGCUUCCUGAACUGAAACACAGCUAUCCUUCUAAACCACGCUUCUCUGAAAUUUGUGAUGCAAUUCUGAAAAGAAAAAAAAAUGUAUACAGAAGCUGUAUACGUGGAGGAAGUGUGUGUACAAAUGGAUAUAUUAGUGAAAAUAGUUCUAACAUUAUAAAAUCAUAAAAAGUUAACUUUAAAAAUAAAAUGUUUGGCCAAGUAAAAAGGUUUUAACAGGUGAUGAAGUAGCAUGUUGUAGGUGAAAACUUUCUACAUCAGUUUGCAUUUUUUGUCAAAAUAAAAAAAGCGCUCAGAAAAAUUCAACAGGCUUUUAAUGUGCUUUUUCUCCAAACAUACAUAUUUUUUGUCAGGAAUUGUGCCCAAUAUGCGCAUUAUGCAAGCAAUUUCCCCCAACUACAUACAUAUAUGUGCCCCCCCCGAAACAUGCAUUUUUACGCAUACAUGCACCUACAAUAUGUAUAUUCGUAAACAUGUCUUGGUUGGGAAACUGUAAAAUUCAGCAAAGCAUGAAUUACAAAGGACACUGCAUUUUGGUCCACAUACAGUUUGGGGAAGUACAAAUUAGGUAGGUUUGCAUUAAGAUGUGAACCAAACAGAAUUUGCACCCAUCCCUGCCCAUAAAUACGAAAGGAGCUCCCUUUCUCCUUUGAGUGACUGCAGGCUAGGAAUAGGUGCUAAAGGCCAUACGAGCAGCAACAUAGAAACCAGCCUUAAAUUAAGUCAGACUGUUGCUCCAUCUUAUUCAGUAUUGCCAACACUGACUUGCAGUGCAAAAAUGGAAGUCUUUCUUAGCCCUGCCUGAAGGUCCUGGGACCUUCUGCACACAAAAUACAUGCUCUCUCACUUUAUGUCCUCUUACAAUAAGAUAUCAAUUAAUUACAUUUCCAGUGGCACAGGGACAGGACUGAGUCAAGAAAAUCUCUCAGUUUGAAGCAUGGGGCAAGAUGGUGCCCACCCUAUUCCAGGCACUGGAUUGGCAGCUGACUGUUCUUCUGUGGCAACAGGCAGCAUCCUUCACUGCACCUAAGGGCAGCAUGGCAGCUUAGGGGCAGGCUGCGUGGCACACACCACUGGUCUUCCGAUGGAAGAGAACGUCCAGCAGACUCAAGAGGAAUGGCCAAGGGGAUUCUGCCACUGCCGUCCACAAUUCCUGGCAUCUGCUGCCUGAGGCAGCUGCCUCACUCUGUCUAAUGGUAGGACCAGGCCUGCACAUGGGUAUUUGUGCAGUGGUAGUCAGAGCCCUGCUGGAUCAGCCCAAUGGUCCACCUAGCCCAACAUCCUCUUCUCGCAGUGGCCACCCAGAUGCUCCAAAGGGAAAUCUGCAAGCAGGACCUCAGCAUCCAAGCACUCUCACCUCCUUGUGGUUUCCAUCAAUUGGUAUUCAGAAGCAUUGCUACUUCUAAUUGUGGAUCCUUCCACUAAAGACUGCUAGAGCGCAUGUGGUAGCUCACACCAGCAUGUGUGCACAUGUGUGCGGUUGGUGUGUGUGUGUGUUUUGCAGCAAGAUUAAGCUUCGCUUUGCAUUACCUUGGCAGCUAGCAGAAGCUCUGAAGUGGGCACUGCAAUUCCUAUCCAUGCUAAUGAUCUCCUCUUUGGCAUGAAAAGGCAUUACGAGGUCCCUUAGUGCUCAUGCGAUAGACCCACAAAUCUAUUUUUGGCUACGUGCACAUGUGACAGAUCAUUAAAAGACUCGGAAUCAGUUCCUUGAAUUUAGAUGGGGGGAAAGGGGGUGGGCGGGUGGGAGAUGCUAAAAUAAGACUGAAGGCUGUUGAAUCUUCCAGGACAUUAAUAACCAAAAACCACUAGAAAUAACCAUGGCAACAAACAGUCGCUAAGUACAGUACAAUCACCCUGAUUACCAUAGAAUUAGCACAAAGCAAAUGUUUAUUUUCCUAAAUAUGCGUAUUAUGAAGGUGAUGAGCACGUUAGUAACUACCCCAAAUUACAGAGUAGGGGCCGAAAGCGGCACUGGCAUUGCGAUAAAUGCUCUGCUUGGCACUUGUUUGUUCUGAUCUGUGCGAGAAAUAUAUUUAUAAAUGAACCUUUCCGCUCCCAAUGAGUUCUGCUAAUUUGACAGCUGAAUCUCUGUUGAGCAUGCCAGUUGCCUUGCAGCUAAUUAAGACCUGUGGUGUGCUCGUUGGCAUCGGGCUUGACUAAAGCAUUCUGGUCACUGGAGGCUUGAACCUCUUUCACGCAAAGGCUAGAAGACCGGCGCAUUUGAUGCCCUGGCUACAGGCCCUUUGGCUGGUUGCAGCUAGUCGCUGGCUGGCUGGCCAGGGGUCAACAACAGACUGCUUGAGACUGGUGUCAAUCUGACCUGGUAGUGUUUAUGUAUGACCCCUGGCUAAUCAAUGCCUGGCACCGCCAAGAAAGGGGAACAAAGGUUGACACUUGCCCUUGCCUUCAGGGAAGACCGAGCGGCUGAAGCCUUUGGCCCGGUAGGGCUUUCGUUCUAGAUUUGAGAGAGCCGUUGCUCCAUGACUGAGCUUCCCCUGUGCUCUAAAGCAGUUAUGACUCCCAAAAGAGGACAUGUAUCACCCACAAAGGGCAUAAAUUUGCACAUUUUGAUUUCUAUGCAUAGAUGCACUAAUAAUAAUAAUAAUAAUAAUAAUAAUAAUAAUAAUAAUACAGCUUUACCAUAUGGUAUGAUUUAUUGAAAACCAGGGCACAGACAAAGCUCAUGCACAUCCUCCUCAAAGUAGACCCAUUGGUAGGUUCAUUAUUUUGUCCUCUCCUCCUGUGUAUUUUGUAUGCUUAGCAUCACUAAUGUGUGUAUUUGUGUGCACUUGUGCACAACCUUUAGUAUAUCUAUUUUUGUAUGCAUUACUUGGCUACUUGGCUAGCGAAGUGCAUUACAAAAUUCAGAGAAAUUUGGAUGGCUGUGUUUCAGUUCAUGUGUUGUUUCAGAAAGCAUUUGGAGAGAAAAAGAGAUAGAUAGAUAGAUAGAUAGAUAGAUAGAUAGAUAGAUAGAGCAAGCAAGCAUUUGGAGAAUUAGGUAGGUUUGCCUCUAAAUGCAAACAGAAUCAAAUUUAUCCUUAAAGAGAAUUGGUGCUUAAAUACAUAUUUAAAAAUGUAUGUAAAAUUUAUUUAAAGGAUGUACUUCUUUAAAAGGGGGGGCUGUAUACUGCUGUAUCAGAAAGAUUUAUCACAGCAGUUUACAACAAUAUAAAAAUAUUAAACCAAACAAUGACAUUAUAAAUAGUUAAAAACAAGUUAAAAGUAGCAAGACAUCAAUAGCAUAUAGUUAAACAAUGGCACUCACUCCCAGUGGUGAUGGCCACCAACUUGGAUGGCUUUAAAGAGGAUUGGACAAAUUCAUGGAGGAUAAUGUGAUCUAUGGUUACAAACCAUGACGGCUAUGUUCUUCCUUUAAGGUCAGAGGCAGAACUACUUCUGAAUACCAGUUGCUAGAAAACACAGGAGUGCUUUUGUGCUUGAGUCUUGCUUGAGGGUGGCCAGUCAUCCGAGUGGCCGCUGUGAGAACAGGAUGCUGAACUAGAUGGGCUAUUGGCCUGAUCCAUCAAUGUUCCUAUUUGGGUAAAGGUAAAGGUAAAGUUAAAGGUAAAUGGACCCCUAACCAUUAGGUCCAGUCGUGACCGACUCUGGGGUUGCGGCGCUCACUUUAUUGGCCGAGGGAGCCUGCGUACAGCUUCCAGGUCAUGUGGCCAGCAUGACUAAGCCGCUUCUGGCGAACCAGAGCAGCGCACGGAAACACCGUUUACCUUCCCGCCAGAGUGGUACCUAUUUAUCUACUUGCACUUUGACGUGCUUUUGAACUGCUAGGUUGGCAGGAGCUGGGACCAAGCAACGGGAGCUCACCCUGUCGGGGGAUUCGAACCACCGACCUUCUGAUCGACAAGUCCUAGGCUCUGUGGUUUAACCCACAGCGCCACCGGCAUCCCUACAGUGCCACCCGUGUCCCUUCCUAUUUGAGUAGGAUUCUUUAAAAUGAGGACUAAUGGGAAAACAUACUGGAAUUAAACACAUAGAGCAGAAAUAGAGUCGCUCACACUUAACUGGCAGCAUGUGGAAAGCCUGACAGGUACUGAGAGUCAGGCACUGGCCUCCCUACAUGAACUGCUUCUACAAUUCAAGAGUAGCGGCAAGCCCAGCAGCCUUCUAUCUGAAGAAAUGGAAGGUGAUUUGUUCAUUUUGACCACCUGAUUCCCUAUCAAGACAUUUUCUGUCCAGAGGAUUCUAACCUGUUGGCUUGAAAGGCCAGGAGUUCAACGAUAUCUGAGCAGCUGUCUUGGUGACACAGGGUGUAAAGCAGGGCGACUUGACCCUAGGGUUCCUCAUGCUGCAAUACCCACCGCAGACAGGAAGACAGAGAAUGUUUGAAACUAAUAACAACAGUCUUGUAGCAAAUAGGCAAGGCUUCUGCUCUUUUUUGCUGUACAGGGUAAGGCCUCGGCAGUAGCCCUUGGACGUCGUUUGACUAAAAUAUCCAAGUUACUAAAUAAAAUUACACUAAAUUGACAAGCUUAAGAUCUGAUACAGAUACAGAAGGCUUGGGAAGAUUUCCGAAACUGCCCCGUGGAAAGAAAGCAAGAUAUAUCUAAUGUGGCAAAACAGAUCUAAGAGGAUAUCCACAUAGUUGGAGUAGUGGAGAACUGGUUUGAUAAUUUUAGGAUUGGCAGAUGGAAUAAGGGAAGAGAAAGUUAUAUUUAGGGCAACAUCUCAGUUCAGGAAGUCAAGGCGAUUGAAGGAAGAGGAGGGGAAAUGUUACUUAAUUACAGAAUCUGACAAACUCACUGAAUGCUACUAGGAUAAGAAGCCGCGAAGAAAAGAGAGAAUGUUGAAAAAUGAAGCUUGUGUUUUUCCUUGUUCCAAAGGGUGAGGAUGGAAAAAGAUGGGGGUCAGCAUCAGAGGUUGGGCCAAGGAGGUAAAUGUCAAGGCCUCACCAUGCCAUUUGGGCCAGUUUUAAAUUUGUUCUGAGUUCUCAUAAAGGUUAGAUGCAGUAUCAGUCUACAGAAAGUUUUGGGGCCUCUCAUUCGGUUGGGCCAAUGAGAUUGACAAAUCUGUCAAUUUUGUUUCUUUGAGUUUCUCAUUUUUCCAAUCUUCAGUCUGUUUAUGCACCAGUUGCAUUUACCGUAUUUUUUGCUCUAUAAGACUCACUUUUUCCCUCCUAAAAAGUAAGGGGAAAUGUGUGCGUGUCUUACGGAGCAAAUGCAGGCUGUGCAGCUAUUGCAGAAGCCAGAACAGCAAGAGGGAUUGCUGCUUUCACCUCUUGCUGUUCUGGCUUCUGAGAUUCAGAAUAUUUUUUUUCUUGUUUUCCACCUCCAAAAACUAGGUGCAUCUUGUGGUCUGGUGCAUCUUAUAGAGCGAAAAAUACGGUAUUUAUUUGGUAAAGCAGUCCUCACAAAUGAUUGUUACUAUGUUAAAACACAUUUCUCCUAAUAUACAAAAUUUUUAUAUGCUGUUUUACCCACUAUACAUGUUUCUUGCAAGCAAAAUGCUUGGAAAAUGUAAUGCACAGAUGUCCUUCAAAAUCCACACUAUUGUGUUAUGCAGUUCACCAACCAGACAUUUACCCCCCCCCCAAAAAAAAUAAUAAUCAUAUAUUAGGAGAAAGUGUGCAUAAAUUGCUUUAAACUAUUUUUAAUGUUGUGUUUCAAUGUUGUAACCAGUCCUUGGACCUUAGGGUAAAUAAAGGGUGAAAAUAGAAUAGAAUAGAAUAGAAUAGAAUAGAAUAGAAUAGAAUAGAAUAGAAUAGAAUAGAAUAGUAGGACAAAAAUUGUGCUGUAUUAAGAGAAACAUGCAAAACUGCAUAUCAAAAUGUGUGCCUUAGGAGAAAAUUGCACUAAAAUGUUGUGAAUUUUCAAGAGGGCUUUUUCCUGCAGCAAAUUGCUGCAUCAAGGUGAAGAACUGAAUUUAAGGUUGGCAAACUGUGAAACUGAGAGAACAAACAUUGACAGAUCUUUCCAUCCCUGUUCCCUAUACAGCUGAUAACCCUGCUUACAGUUUGAAAUGGUGCAGCACACAGCAAAUUAAGACUGUGGAUCAUGUAGCUUAGUCUUUAUUUCAUCUUUGUAACCUACCUUGCCACCUAGGGCAGCAUACCAGUUUGUUAACAAAGUUUGCCUACAGGAAGAAAAAUAGAAUAGAGUGGCACAUAGUUGGAACUUUUGGUAAAAAAUUGAAAGCCAACAUUCUAUCAUAGGAUCAGAGUGGUGCUACUCUAGACUACAGAUGGGGAACCUGUGGCGCUCGGGAAGUUGCUGGACUACAACUCCCAUCAGCCCUGCCCAUUGGGCAUAUUGUCUGGGGCUGGUGGGAGUUGUCGGGGGCUACAUAAAAUGAGGUUGGGGCUGCAGGUUGCCCACCUGUGCCAAAGGUGAAGGAGUGAACAAGAUCAUCUGCUUUCCUCAAUGUAAGUGAGAGUAAUGGAAUUCAUUAAAUGGCAAUAUUGAGUAGGAGGGGGUGAGUGUGUGGAGCUCAGACAGCAGAAAUGCAGGAAGGAAAAUCUGAAUUACCAUUUUGCUAGCUCAGGGAAGAAGACUCCUCAAAUUGAUUUUCCUGGAAAAGGCUCUCUAGCCUUUUAUUUUGUUUUAUUUUAUUGCCAGCUAAAUCUCUGUUUCCACUGUGUCUCUGAAGCUACAUCUGUAAAACAUAGCGGUGGAAAUAUUGCUUUAUCUCCCAGGGAAGAUAUCCCUUUUCUGCUUCUUCUUGUAACCCUACCUUUGAAUGACUUCCAGGUUCAGAUUUCUAGAGGUGUAGUGGAUGGCUGGCUAGGCAGACUAUACAUACACACACACACACACACACACACACACACUGCAGAGAAACCUCUGACUUAAAGAAAUGUGGCUGAGAUCAUUCAUUCAUUCAUUCAUUCAUUCAUUUUUUGCCCACUUUUCAAAAUGCUUUUAACCAAAAUGAAUGCCGGUAGAGUCCAAAUGCAAAGCAUAGUAAGAUGUCUUUACGGAGGAGAGGGCUUCUUCCUUCCUCUUCCCUUGAGAAAUUUGAUGAGGCUUAUGGGCACCAUUCUGGCUUCCCUCAGAACCUCAUAGCUUCUCUCAGAGCACUUGUAUUGCUGUGUUCAGUUCUGGUCGCCACACACACACACAAAAAGGAUAUUGUAGAGCUGGAAGAGGUUCAGAAAAUGGCAAACCAAUACUAUCAAGGGGUCUGGAUCAACUCGCCUAUGGGGAAAGAUAAACUAUGCAAUCAACUCCCACAAGAUGAAAUUAUGGCUGCCAACCUGGGUAGCUUUUAAAGUUGUGUAGAUAAAUUCCUGGCAGAUAAGGUUAUCAGUGGCUAUCAUGAUGGCUAAAAACUAUGCCUGUGCACAGCCAUCCAGUUAAGGAUCCCAUCUGGUGCUUCAGAGCAGCCCUAAUCCAACCAGGAAUGAUCUAGGGCCAACCCAGAUCCAGGCUCAGAACCAAAUUGUGGGGCUUUCAAGGUCUUUAAGUAGGGUUUAAAACCCUAAUUAAACAUGCAGUCAGGAAAGAGGAAAGGCAUGCAGAAAGGCUUCUGAUGGCCCUGGAUAGAUCCAAUCCCACAUGGUUUUAUCUGGGGCUGCCUCAACCCACUCUGGCUAAAUCCUGGGACAGCCCAAAUUUGCCUCAGGACCCAAGUGCACAGUCCUACUAAAUACUAUAUCUGGUAUCAGAGGUGGGAAGCCUCUGAACAGGGCCGUCUUACCCAUAGGUGCUAGGGGUGUGGGGCACCCAGGCGCUGGGUUCUCAGGGGUGCCAGGCCGAGAGUCUGGGGCCUGAGAGUUGAGUCCGGGGAAGAGCCCUCCUGUCGGUCAGAGCGCCGCGGCGGGCUCUUCUGCGUCACAAGUUUGAGGGUGACCGAGCCAGCGUGAUGCUGAGGCAGCCGGCCGGCUCUGCCCUCCUGUGCACCUGGGACUGGGCAACCUGGGAGCGGGGUACCAGGCAGAUCUUGCACCCCGGCACCACAUAUGCUUAAGACAGCCCUGCCUCUGAAUACCAGUUGCUGAGAAACACAAGUGGGGAGAACAUUGUUGCACUCAAGACCUGCUUGCAGGCUUCCCAGGGGCACAUGGUCUCCUCAUCUGGCUAGACUAGAUGGGCCUUCACUCUUAUUUGGAAAGGCUUCUCUGGAUUUGCAUCUAAGGCAAACCCUAGGUUCACUUCAGAUUUCCCACCACAUGAAAGAUAGGUGGCAGCUCUGCUUAUAUCAUGAUAAAACCUCCUAGAAGUCAUCGAUAUUCCUUUUGAGGCCUAGGUUGGUGAGAAAGGACGGUCCCAGAUGAAGCUGAGAGCACAGUUGCCCCCACCAUUAGGCAGAGGGAAGCAGACACCCCAGGUAGUAGAUGCAGAGGGGUGGGGAGUCGACAGAGCUGUGUGAGCCACACUGCCAUAGGCUUUGUAACACAGUCAGCGGCGGAGCAAGCCAAUCGGGCACCUGAGGCAGCACGCGUGCCCUGCGCCCAGGGGCGGGGCGAGCCGGGGCAGGACGCUCCAUGGGGCCUCCAAGGAGUCUACCUGCCUCCUCCCACUCAGCUGCCCUACAGCUGGGGGGGGAGGCAGCAGGCAGGCCGUUUGGGGCAGAGUGGAGCCUGCAGGCACCCAAGCCACCAGGUCACUCCCAGGAGAGACGUGUGGCUCAGACGCACUGCAGGCCCCGCGGUGAGUGCCGCCCGGCAUUUUGUCGCGCCCCCCAGUGAUGACACCCAGCCUGCCCCCACCACACACACCCCUUCCUCUGCCCCUGAACACAGUCAGGAUUGGGUUUGGAUUUGAGGACUUUGGAGGCAGAGUACUGGGAAGAAAUGGGAGAGGGGUCCUGAAUGGUGAGAAACAAGUUUGGUAGAGGGGUAUCUCCCUGUUGUGCCUCAACUUCAGCCACUUUGGAAGAGGGAUAAGGGAUGUCGGUUCCUCCCUCAACUUCUGGUAGGGCAGAGAGAGCCUGUGGAAGCUGGAGGGAGCUGAGGAUGGAGGCAGCUUAGGAGGCAGAGCAACUGAUCUGUAGCAUGAAAAGGCAAAUGCAGCACUGACCCCUAGAACCAGCUGCCACUCCAAGUGAAGACCCACCCUCCCUGAAUUACAAUUCCAACAUUCCUGCAAAGCAAGAGAGUCUCCUGAGUUAGUUCACCAUGCCUCGCCUUUAAAAGCUUGGUAGGAGGGGAGUGCCAUUGGUUGGGUCAGCUUCAUUGAUUCUGUCCAGUUCUGAACUUUUUGCCCGGAUCCUGAACUCCUGAACUCUGUGUCUGCUGCCAAGCCUCU